rnacentral:tRNA from 1 species
GAAGUCAUGUCCGAGUGGUUAAGGAGAUUGACUAGAAAUCAAUUGGGCUCUGCCCGCGUAGGUUCGAAUCCUGCUGACUGCG